UACGUAGGGUGCGAGCGUUAAUCGGAAUUACUGGGCGUAAAGCGUGCGCAGGCGGUUUGUAAGCCAGAUGUGAAAUCCCCGGGCUUAACCUGGGAAUGGCAUUUGGGACUGCAAGGCUCGAGUGCGGCAGAGGAGACUGGAAUUCCUGGUGUAGCAGUGAAAUGCGUAGAUAUCAGGAGGAACACCGAUGGCGAAGGCAGGUCUCUGGGCUGACACUGACGCUGCUGCAC
rnacentral:rRNA from 1 species